rnacentral:rRNA from 1 species
GUCGUACGAGGACAGUCCUUCGGGACUGAGCCGAGUGGCGGACGGGUGAGUAACACGUGACCAACCUGCCUUCGAGAGGGGAAUAACCUGGGGAAACCUGGGCUAAUGCCGCAUGAAGUGUCGAGCUCGCAUGGGCAUGACACCAAAGGGAGGCCUCUAUUUAUAAGCUUCCGCUCGAAGAGGGGGUCGCGACGUAUCAGCUAGUUGGUAGGGUAAUGGCCUACCAAGGCUACGACGCGUAGCGGGUCUGAGAGGACGACCCGUCACAUUGGGACUGAGAUACGGCCCAGACUCCUACGGGAGGCAGCAGUGGGGNNNAUUGCGCAAUGGU